AACAAGGUCUCCGUUGGUGAACCAGCGGAGGGAUCAUUAUCGAGUUAUUCAACUCCCAAACCCUAUGUGAACUUACCACUUGUUGCUUCGGCGCGCGCUUCGGCGCCGCCGAGGACACUUAAACUCUUUGUUUUUAUAAGCAUUUCUGAGUGGCCGAAAGGCAAAAAUACAAAUGAAUCAAAACUUUCAACAACGGAUCUCUUGGUUCUGGCAUCGAUGAAGAACGCAGCGAAAUGCGAUAAGUAAUGUGAAUUGCAGAAUUCAGUGAAUCAUCGAAUCUUUGAACGCACAUUGCGCCCGCCAGCAUUCUGGCGGGCAUGCCUGUUCGAGCGUCAUUUCAACCCUCGAGCCCGACUCUUUUGAGGACGGCUCGGCGUUGGGGGACGGCAGACUCCCCCCGGCAUCUCGCCGGGGACGCCGCCCCCGAAAUCUAGUGGCGGCCCUCCGAGGCGACCUCUGCGUAGUAACUUGUUCUCGCACCGGAAAGCUCAGAGCGGCCACGCCGUAAAACCCCAACUUUUUUCAGGUUGACCUCGAAUCAGGUAGGACUACCCGCUGAACUUACGCAUAUCAAUAAGCGGAGGAA
rnacentral:rRNA from 1 species